UACGAACCGUCUUUUCGGAUGUAGGUAUCGCCGUAUUAUGAAUAAGAUAGUGUUUAGGAAACUGGGUUCUUACAACGAAGCUCUACCACACGAUCUAGAGUAAGAAGAAUAAGUGACAGUCCUAAAUGCCUUGUAGCCUCCUGCUUAUAAGUGUGGUGCACGACACACCCAUAAACAAGACUAUACUAGACACGACUUGUAGACUCCCUAGGACAGAACUACUCUGAUACCACUUUUGCCACGACCCAAAUCGAUGGGCCACGACGGGCACCUAGUACCUUACUCAACCGAGUACCAACAUAGCGUAUCUUUUCGUAUCAUACUAUCAUAUAUAAGUGAGCUGGAGAGGCUGCCAUGAAAUAGGUAGAAUACAACAUGUAAUACCAACUUAUACAUAAGACAUAUGGGCCUCUAAGACCAAAAUAACCACUCGUACACUAAGCAUAGGCCGACAAGGCCAUUCAAUCUUUUACGUACAUGAUAUUUGUCUACAAUACUCUAAGUAUACAUAAUUGUCAUAAAGGUCGGGACAGAGUCUCGCCAUACCGAACAAUAUACAUCUAAAUAAUAUUGACCAAACAAGCAACUCUGGAGCAAAUGGAGUGCACCAAGAUCUUCCACUAAGCUAAUCGCCUACAUAGAGGACUCUCGACCUGUCUAUCGAGACCUACGAGCAUGAAAUGCAGCGUCCCCAGAAAAAAGAGACGUCAGUACAAAUAACAUACCGAGUAUGUAAGGAAUGAAAAUGAGUAAAUAAUAGACAUCAGAGAAAUAUGGAGUACAAAACUUGACAUGUAUGUCUGCAUAGCUCUGUGAAUCAUUUCAUUUUUAUGAUAUUAUGCAUAUGCAUAUAAAUGUCAGGCCAUGCAUAGGAAUAUGCGUUCAUAACAUCAUCAAGCCUCUGAGGUCAUUCAUCGUAUCAUUUCGAUCACUGUGGGCAAAUUAUAAACCUAUACCAACUGAUCAAGUGGUGGUGCGUAUAUAAUACCAAAACCUUUUCCCAUAGCCCAUAUACACAUAUACGCGUACAUAAUGCCAUCUAGUCAUGGGUCAAUGUGCAUGUAUAAAUGCAUGAAAUGCAUAUGAAAUAUGUUAAUAAAAUCCCUCGGUACGUCAUAAGGCCAUUAUGCCUCUGAUUAAUAUCAUAAAAUAAACUUUAUCAACUUACGUAUUUUCUGAGACCCAUGAAUAGAUGAUAGAAUAAUAGGACACAUGGAGAAUCAAGAACAUAUGCACCUCUAAUAUUUCUAUGAAUAAAGUUAUUUUUGGAAGUUGUGCAUUUACUCGUUUAGUAUGUGUCGUAUAUAUCAUGCCAAAAGAAAUAAGGGAUAGCCUUAACAUACCUGAGCUGGUUCUCUUAACAAUUACUCUAACAUCGUUGAUUGCGAUAACACGUAACGGCGAAUUGAAGUAGGGAAAAAUUCGUAUGAUAUUGUUGAGAAAGAUUACACCGUACUCCCUUAAAAUAGUAAAAUCCCAUUGUCACACCUCCUUUUUCUACCCCGAAAGAGGUAUAGGGGAGUUUUUCCAAUUAGAUUGACAAAAAUCGAAAUAGGAUUAUUUAUUCAAAUUAAGAGUCGCCAAUUGGGAUAUUUUUUGGUGUCCCAAGACACCGGUUUAUAAUAUCGAGUCGAGGAAGUUUGACUCUGUUUUACAGUUCGCAGAAGAUAGAAAUCUGGGCAAGGAAUUUUGUUAAUCCGGGAGAAGGUGUUAGGCAUUCCUGGGUUCUGUGGUUUUAGCACAGUCGCUCAACUAUUAUUUUUUGGCUUAAUUAUCUGAUUAAUUACAUAUUUUAAACCUAUUGUGUAUUUUUACCCGUUUACUGCUUUUAAUUGUUUAUGGAAUUAUUCUAGAACAAGUUACAGUUGUUGUACACCUGUUUGUUUGGUACACAUUGCGAAUCGUAUCACGGUAACCGUACCCACAAUUUACACCAUAAUUAAAUUAUUAACAAUAUUAGUUGUUAUGGCCGGGUCAUAUAAAUGUACCCCCGGAUUUGGAAAUUAUGUACCAUAACAACGUCACAGGAACAGUAUCAAUAGCUAUGAUAAUUUUAUUAUAAACGCGCCUAAAGUGAACUACGAAUGUUCAAAGUUUUUCUACACUAGUUACGAAUGUUUUAAGUUUUUCCAUACUAGUUUUUGCAUUAAUAUAAAGGCCAUAGAUAGGUAUUCAUUUAUGAAUGAUAUGCCUCGAUUUAUUUCAAAAAAGAUUCAUACUCAACUACAGCAAACUAAGAAUUUUUAUAUUUAAAACUAAUUUGAAAUUAGCUAUCACAACUACGCUACGGGAACCGUACCCGUAGUUGUGGUGAUUCAAUUACGUGCUGAAAGCAAACUACGAAAGUUCAUACUUACCUCCUAAAUUAAUUCGCGGUUUAUUGACAGGCCACAUAUUAUAACUAAGGAGUCCAAAGUUGUGCAUGCUUUUAACCAUUGAAAUAUUGGGCCAUCAAGAGGCCUGUUAUAUAUGCAAAUCUUUGAGGAAGAUACGGGUUGCGGAUUUGGGCUCGAAAUUGAGCCCAAAAGUUAAAGAAAUCGGGAGCCAAAACCCAUUGAGCCUGGCUCCAAACACGCUGUCUCAUCUGGGCCAGAAAUGGGCCCAGUUUUUCCCAGCAUGAGAGCCUUUGAUAUUAAGGCCCACUUGAGACUUAACCUCUUCUAAAUCACAUGUAACACAAAAUGUUAUAAAAUUUUUGGAGAAAAAAAUCAAAGGCUGACCAAACAUAUUUUGCAUCUAAUUUAUCACAUGCCAUUAGUAACAAUAUAAAACUACUUAACCCAAAUUACCAAUUAAUUACAUUGAAAAAAUGUGGGUAAUUACUUCACUUGCAACCAGAGGUUCAAAUAUCACGUGACAAUUUAACAUUGAAUAUCCUUUGGAAUUGUAUGGGCUUAGACCCAAUUUACCAGAGACAAUGCACUAAUAUGAAAAAUGCCCAUGCCUUAUUAUCAAAUACUACAGUUGAACAAACUAAAUGCAAUGAAUUAAAACAUGGCCUUCGGAAGAAAGCUAAUCUCCAUAUAGCAAGGCAAUUUUGGAAAGGUGUGUGCGUAACAAACUGUCACAAAAGGAGUAGAAUCAUUUCCAUACAACUUGAUGUUUUCCUAAACCAUUAACCAACCCCUAAACCUUAUGACUCAUGCUAAGUAAAGCAGAAUGGACAUAGAAGGGACUAAAAGUGGAUCCUUAGGUCAGUAAUACACACAGUUCGUACGCAACACAAGGAUGAGGCAAAAAUCAGUGGAUACCAGGUUCUUUAUUUAAUGUUCUCAUAACUUCAAAUGUUAAACAGAGACAGAAUUUAGGAUAGAUUUAAACUUAUCUAGGUUGAACUUAAGACCAAAAUGAAUCCAAAAUAGCAGUUCCAGAACUUAACAGAACAAGGGAGCACAUGUCCACAACCAAACUUUCACUUAAAAUUCAACAAAACAAAAGAAAACUUAACAAAAAUAUUACAGGUGCACACUUAACAAAUUCAUCCUAUAUUACUAUUCAAACAGGGCUGAAUGAAAUCGCUAUACACGCCUCAGACGUUAAACAGAAUUGCAGAGAAGAUGAAGUGUAAGAAAGAAGCCACAGUCACAUGAAUCUUAUGUACCAAACACGAAUCUUCAUCUACUAGUAAAAGACAACACAUGAUAUUAACUAACCAAGAAAAGAGUUACAUGAGUUAACAAAACAUAAGGGCUAAUUACUGAUGACAUUGCUGUAUUAGUCUCAAAACAUUCAUAUCAUCACAUUUAACUUGCAGCUCAAGGUUUCAAGGUGGUACCUGGAUACAACAAGCACAACAAGAAAGUAUGUUUAGAAAUCAACAAGGUGUGAUGGACUCAGCAGCAAGGAACAACAGUAAUAAUCAAACCAACUCCAUUAUCAAAUCAUAGCUCAACUAAAGAACCCAAAAAAUCAAAAAGAAAAUGUUUUCCCAAACUUUGUAAAGAGUUAGUAAGUAGAGAAUUGAGCUGGAUUUUUUGAGAGGUUUUUAGAGUCUGUUCUCCGCCCCUUCAGUGAGGGGAAAGUUCUACGUAUAUAGGAGAUGAGAAAAAACCCAUGUGCUCUCCCUAAAUUUCAAGGAAAAAGAAUCUUUUCUAACCAAUUUUUACAGUUGUCCCACCCUUUAUCAAAAUUCAGC
rnacentral:lncRNA from 1 species